AAUAAUUAUGAUGAUUUUAUACCGCCCCAGACUGAAUUUCGUGUUGAAGGUUUAAUCUGAAUAUA